UAGGGAAUCUUCGGCAAUGGGGGCAACCCUGACCGAGCAACGCCGCGUGAGUGAAGAAGGUUUUCGGAUCGUAAAGCUCUGUUGUAAGAGAAGAACGUGUGUGAGAGUGGAAAGUUCACACAGUGACGGUAACUUACCAGAAAGGGACGGCUAACUACGUGCCAGCAGCCGCGGUAAUACGUAGGUCCCGAGCGUUGUCCGGAUUUAUUGGGCGUAAAGCGAGCGCAGGCGGUUUAAUAAGUCUGAAGUUAAAGGCAGUGGCUUAACCAUUGUUCGCUUUGGAAACUGUUAAACUUGAGUGCAGAAGGGGAGAGUGGAAUUCCAUGUGUAGCGGUGACAUGCGUAGAUAUAUGGAGGAACACCGGUGGCGAAAGCGGCUCUCUGGUCUGUAACUGACGCUGAGGCUCGAAAGCGUGGGGAGCAAACAGG
rnacentral:rRNA from 1 species